CUGGUGUCAGAAAUUAAUUUUGUCGUUUAAUGAAUUAUAUAAUUGCUUUUUCCCUUUUAAUUGGACACAUCAGUUACUGACACUUUAGAAUCAGAAAGAAAACCAGUCAUCUUAAAAAAAAAGAGGUCAAGAGAAAUAGACAUAAUUAUUAACCGAUUGCAGGGGAACUUAUGCCCUUUGGUACCUAUAAUUGGAAAUAAAAUAUCUUCUAUAAUCAGAAAUGGCAAAAUCUACGGCUCAAACCGAUAGAGUUUUGCUUUCGUAUCCAUUUUUUGUCAACUUGGAAACAUCAUCUUAUUCACUCCGUUACAAUCAAGCUACGAUAAAUUUUACGAUACAUUCCUCAACAACACGGAUGUAGAUUUGAUAAACAAUCUAAUUCGAAAAG
rnacentral:lncRNA from 1 species